rnacentral:lncRNA from 1 species
ACUGCAAGAAUGAUCUUCUGUUUUACUCAUUUUCUUCAGUAGAGGGAGCUUGAGUCUACAGCAAAGAGAUGCUUGCUUCGUUUCGACACGUUCUCCCCAGCCCAUCAUCUUUAGCAUACUUCAUUGCCGUGGAUAUUCGCAGAUCCAGUUGAUGGGCAGCUCAUUUGUUGUGAUGGAAGAAACCUUGAAGAACUCCCUGCUACCCACUUAUUUUCAAGAUAUUAUCCCUCAUAUAAGGAGCUGAACCAGAGAACAAACACAUAACUGUGUCAAGAUAAAACCCUGGCUUCUUGAAUUUCUUGACUCACCCUGGAAAUGGAUUUUAUGUCCAUGUGUGCAGUUUCUCGUCUCUCUCUUCCUUAUUUCUAACAACCACUUUGUAUUAAAUGUUUCAUCACAGACA